UUCUAAGUGAGGCUUCCUAACAUCUUACUAGCCUAGGAUUAAUAUCAGCCCAUUUUUUGGAGGAGAACCAACAAGACUGGCUAUUUGACUGGAUCCUCCAAUUGGUUUACUCCAAGAUUCCUCUUCGUUGGCUUAAGAAGAUACAAGACAGGAGUCUCCAAUCCUUAGACCAUGGACCAAUAUCAACCAUGGCCAGUUAGCAACCCGGUAGCAAAGCAGGAGGAAUAUGUUUAAUACUGUUCAAAAGAAGAGAAGGAAAGAAAAGCAAAAAGAACAGAGGAAAAGAAACCCAGAGGCAAGGAAUAAAAAAGUCCUAUACAAAAAGACUCCACCACGAAGAAGAUUGAGAGGCACAAGGAAAAUGAACCCUGAGAAGUAAAUACCGUUGCUGUCAUCCCCAUUUUACAAAUGGGGAAACAAAAAUAGAGAAAUGAAGCAAUUUGUCCAAGAUCACUCUGCUAGCAAGCAACAGAACCAGGAGUUUAACCCAGGUGGGAUCUCAUUUGACUACUGGCAAAUGUCACAUGUGUGCUUGUACAUAUGUACAUUCACACAUGCAACACACACACAUGUAACAAGCAGAGUUAACUCACCACAGCCGCCAAUUCUUGCUUGAAAAGCAUAAAAGGCUUCAGUAAAUGCAAUGACUUAAUUACUUCUCACAUCUGGAAAAACUUGAAUAUGAGAGUGGAUUUAUUGAAGAAGCUCUUUGCUUGGCUGUCAACACCGUAUCAAGAGCCAGAAAGAGAGCAGGCUUGAUCACUCUUGGCAAUUCUUUAACCCAUUCAGAGAUAGACGAUCUACCAAUUAAUUCAUAACAUGUCCUGUUUAUGUGAUUUAUGAAUUUUAUGAAAACACAGCAAUGUAAAUAGUUUCCUAGUAAUUUAUGGAGAAAAGCUGUUUUUGUCAUGUUUCUAGGAAGAAAAAUAUCACACAUUAAAAUGGGGAAAUAAUGAAGAAGUUUUUACAUUCAAGGAAACAAAGGAAAGGGUUUUGGGGGUUGUAGAGCAUAUUG